GUGGGCGUAGCUCAACUGGUAGAGCGCUUGACUGUGGCUCAAGUCGUUGGGGGUUCAAGUCCCCUCGCUCACC
rnacentral:tRNA from 1 species